rnacentral:lncRNA from 1 species
CUAAAAACACGGUUUUCCCCCUUCAAAUGGUUUCAAAGGAAAACAGAGUUACAGUAAAGUACACAAGUAGGUUUCAGCUAUUGAUCUGAAUUUGCUCUCAACUGCUGGGCUAUUUUUAUUUUUUUUGCGGGGGAAAGGACGUUCCGUUGAAUCACAGAAUAGUUUGGUUACACUCCGUAUUUAACACGGCCAACAAUUCGACGGGACCCGAGCCCAGCCAAACAGUUGUCCUCGCGUCACUCCUAGCAACAUUGGCGAGAGUAUGACUAGCAAUCUUCUAAGGCCUAGUUAUCUUUUCGAACUUGAACGCCCUUCCUUCUUGCACCAACUUCCUGAUCUCUUCCACUAAGAACAUGAGAGGGGAACGAUCCUCCUUAUUAGAGCUUGCCAACGCCAGCACCAUCGCACAGACUAGCUGGAUCAGGAUUGGUUUUACUUUCCAUUGCU